rnacentral:rRNA from 1 species
UAACACGUGAGUAACCUGCCCUUAACUCUGGGAUAAGCCUGGGAAACUGGGUCUAAUACCGGAUAUGACUCCUCAUCGCAUGGUGGGGGGUGGAAAGCUUUUUGUGGUUUUGGAUGGACUCGCGGCCUAUCAGCUUGUUGGUGAGGUAAUGGCUCACCAAGGCGACGACGGGUAGCCGGCCUGAGAGGGUGACCGGCCACACUGGGACUGAGACACGGCCCAGACUCCUACGGGAGGCAGCAGUGGGGAAUAUUGCACAAUGGGCGCAAGCCUGAUGCAGCGACGCCGCGUGAGGGAUGACGGCCUUCGGGUUGUAAACCUCUUUCAGUAGGGAAGAAGCGAAAGUGACGGUACCUGCAGAAGAAGCGCCGGCUAACUACGUGCCAGCAGCCGCGGUAAUACGUAGGGCGCAAGCGUUAUCCGGAAUUAUUGGGCGUAAAGAGCUCGUAGGCGGUUUGUCGCGUCUGCCGUGAAAGUCCGGGGCUCAACUCCGGAUCUGCGGUGGGUACGGGCAGACUAGAGUGAUGUAGGGGAGACUGGAAUUCCUGGUGUAGCGGUGAAAUGCGCAGAUAUCAGGAGGAACACCGAUGGCGUAAGGCAGGUCUCUGGGCAUUAACUGACGCUGAGGAGCGAAAGCAUGGGGAGCGAACAGGAUUAGAUACCCUGGUAGUCCAUGCCGUAAA